rnacentral:rRNA from 1 species
GUGAGGUGUCGGGUUAAGGUCCCAUAACGAGCGCAACCCCUACUGCUAGUUGCCAGCGGGUCAUGCCGGGGACUCUAGCGGAACUGCCAGCGUAAGCUGCGAGGAAGGUGGGGAUGACGUCAAAUCAGCACGGCCCUUACGUCCAGGGCUACACACGUGUUACAAUGGCCAGUACAGAGGGCAGCCACCCCGCGAGGGGGCGCUAAUCCUAAAAGCUGGUCCCAGUUCGGAUCGGAGUCUGCAACCCGACUCCGUGAAGCUGGAUUCGCUAGUAAUCGCGCAUCAGCCACGGCGCGGUGAAUACGUUCCCGGGCCUU